rnacentral:piRNA from 1 species
UGUCUCGUUGGCAAUCGCACUGGUGGU